AUUGAACGCUGGCGGCAUGCCUUACACAUGCAAGUCGAACGGUAGAGUAGCAAUACUCGAGAGUGGCGAACGGGUGAGUAAUAUAUCGGAACGUGCCCAGUCGUGGGGGAUAACGUAGAGAAAUUUACGCUAAUACCGCAUACGAUCUAAGGAUGAAAGCGGGGGAUUCGCAAGAACCUCGCGCGAUUAGAGCGGCUGAUAUCAGAUUAGGUUGUUGGUGAGGUAAAAGCUCACCAAGCCGACGAUCUGUAGCUGGUUUGAGAGAACGACCAGCCACACUGGGACUGAGACACGGCCCAGACUCCUACGGGAGGCAGCAGUGGGGAAUUUUGGACAAUGGGCGAAAGCCUGAUCCAGCAAUGCCGCGUGCAGGAAGAAGGCCUGGUU
rnacentral:rRNA from 1 species